GAGUUUGAUCCUGGCUCAGGAUGAACGCUAGCGGCAGGCCUAACACAUGCAAGUCGAGGGGUAACGAUGGAGCUUGCUCCAGGCGACGACCGGCGCACGGGUGAGUAUCGCGUUUGUAACCUACCUUUAACUGGAAGAUAGCCCGAAGAAAUUCGGAUUAAUACUCCAUAAUACUAUAGUUUGGCAUCAUUUUAUAGUUAAAGCUCCGGCGGUUAAAGAUGGGCAUGCGUAACAUUAGCUAGUUGGUGAGGUAAGAGCUCACCAAGGCUACGAUGUUUAGGGGGUCUGAGAGGAUGGUCCCCCACACUGGUACUGAGACACGGACCAGACUCCUACGGGAGGCAGCAGUGAGGAAUAUUGGUCAAUGGGCGAAAGCCUGAACCAGCCAUGCCGCGUGAAGGAUGACGGCGCUACGCGUUGUAAACUUCUUUUGUACGAGAAGAAACCCACCUACGUGUAGGGGGCUGACGGUAUCGUACGAAUAAGCAUCGGCUAACUCCGUGCCAGCA
rnacentral:rRNA from 1 species